rnacentral:rRNA from 1 species
GAUGAACGCUAGCGGGAGGCCUAACACAUGCAAGCCGAGCGGUAUUGUUUCUUCGGAAAUGAGAGAGCGGCGUACGGGUGCGUAACACGUGUGCAACCUGCCUUUAUCUGGGGGAUAGCCUUUCGAAAGGAAGAUUAAUACUCCAUAAUAUAUUGAACGGCAUCGUUUAAUAUUGAAAGCUCCGGCGGAUAGAGAUGGGCACGCGCAAGAUUAGCUAGUUGGUGAGGUAACGGCUCACCAAGGCGAUGAUCUUUAGGGGGCCUGAGAGGGUGAUCCCCCACACUGGUACUGAGACACGGACCAGACUCCUACGGGAGGCAGCAGUGAGGAAUAUUGGUCAAUGGGUGCAAGCCUGAACCAGCCAUCCCGUGUGAAGGACGACUGCCCUAUGGGUUGUAAACUUCUUUUGUAUAGGGAUAAACCUACCCUCGAGAGGGUGGCUGAAGGUACUAUACGAAUAAGCACCGGCUAACUCCGUG